rnacentral:siRNA from 1 species
UGCUACAUACGAUUGGCGGC